rnacentral:lncRNA from 1 species
AUGCUUUCUCUAUGUUUACCUCUUUUCCGAGGCUCUAACACUAAGAAAACCCAGAGGGAGAGACUUUUUCGACGCUGCUCCAGGAGUUGCUUGUGCCUUCGCCCUCGAAGACUCUGGCCAUUUAGCAGGAAGAACCCAAAGAGCUUCACCCAGGAGGACACCGAGGAGAUGGACGACAGAGUCGAGGACACCACCCCUCUGAUCAGGGUGCAGGUGCAUCAUGACGCCCACAAAAGCCACAGCAGCCUAGAGGAAUGUCAGCUGCUGAUGGCCCACGAGAAUGCCAAGGUGUCUGCAAUGGAACUGCAGCAGGAGGCCUCUCCUCUUAGCAUCCAGCGUGAGGAUCUGGAGACAACUGAGGCCAAGGCAGAGGCUAAGGAGGACCAGGGGUCAGCUCCAGCCACAGCAGUAUUGCCAGCUCUAUCUCCAGCUCCAGCACCAGCUCCAGUGCCAGAGAGAGCAACUCCUGAUCAUCUCGAGCCCCCUCCCGCUCCAGCUCUUGAGUCAACUCUGGAGCUGCAGCCAACUUCAUCGCCAGCUGGAGCAACAACUAAAUUGGCAUCACAUCAGUCACCACCUGCAGUUUUGGAGGCAGCCCUAGAGCUGGACAAAGUGUCAACACCAGGCCCCAAUACAGAGCUGGAUGUAACACGAGCCCUGGCUCCAGAGUCACCUUCCCAGGUUGACCGAGAUGAUGAGCUUGAGCCAGUGCAGGCACCAGAUCCUGCUCCAACUUCUCAGCUCCAGACUUGCCUGGAGGAAGAAAUGGAGCCUUCCUUCCCCUCUCCUGUGAGAGCAUCCUUAUUCCUGUCUUCUGUCUUUUUUUUCGUAUUUUACAUUUUAUAUGAUUUGGUUUAUUUUUCUUGUUAACUUACCUUUAAAUUAAAUUUAUUGUUACUGUUUUUAAAUGUCCACGUCAGUGUCUUUAGGUACAUUACAGUGCCGUACAAUCAUCUUUGGUAACAUCUCCAGAACAUUUCUUCACCCCAAACAGGAAGCCGUCAUCUAUGUGGCAGUCCCUCUCCAUUCCCCUCUGUCACCCUGGGAACCACUCUUCUGCUUCUGUCUCCUCUUGUUGCUGUGGCCCAGCUCAGGCCUGAGCAUGUGCACGAUCUUAGCACCUAGCAGGAAGUCAUUAUCCUCAUUUCACAGCUGGGACUCAAGAGGCCUAAGAGACCUUGCUCAAAUUCCUCUGUCCAGGAAGUCAGGGAACAGGGACAGGAACUCAGGACCAGAAUUCUCAGCAGGCCCAUGUGUCUGCAGCCCCUCCACUCACUUGUGCCUGGGACCCUCCUCUCUACCACCCCAGUUCCAGAGCUCAACACCACACCACCUAAUCCAGUUUAGGCAGAGGUGGUCCAGGAGGAGAUUGUGGCCUUGGAGACACCCAUUAAUUUCCUAGGCUGCUCAGACAAAUACCAUGCAAUGAGUAGGCUUAACAAAGGGAAU